AAUAGAUACCCAGGUAGUCCACCCCGUAAACGUUGGGAACUAGUUGUGGGGUCCUUUCCACGGAUUCCGUGACGCAGCUAACGCAUUAAGUUCCCCGCCUGGGGAGUACGGCCGCAAGGCUAAAACUCAAAGGAAUUGACGGGGACCCGCACAAGCGGCGGAGCAUGCGGAUUAAUUCGAUGCAACGCGAAGAACCUUACCAAGGCUUGACAUACACCAGAACACCCUAGAAAUAGGGGACUCUUUGGACACUGGUGAACAGGUGGUGCAUGGUUGUCGUCAGCUCGUGUCGUGAGAUGUUGGGCUAAGUCCCGCAACGAGCGCAACCCUCGUUCUAUGUUGCCAGCACGUAAUGGUGGGAACUCAUGGGAUACUGCCGGGGUCAACUCGGAGGAAGGUGGGGAUGACGUCAAAUCAUCAUGCCCCUUAUGUCUUGGGCUUCACGCAUGCUACAAUGGCCGGUACAAAGGGCUGCAAUACCGUGAGGUGGAGCGAAUCCCAAAAAGCCGGUCCCAGUUCGGAUUGAGGUCUGCAACUCGA
rnacentral:rRNA from 1 species